rnacentral:rRNA from 1 species
GAUGAACGCUGGCGGCAUGCCUAAUACAUGCAAGUCGAGCGAACAGACGAGGAGCUUGCUCCUCUGACGUUAGCGGCGGACAGGUGAGUAACCCGUGGAUAACCAACCUAUCAGACUGGGAUUACUUAGGGCCACCGGAGCUAAUACCGGAUAAUAUAAUGCACCGCAUGGGUCAAUAGUGAAAGACGGUUUUGCUGUCAAUUAUAGAUGGAUCCGCGCCGCAUUAGCUAGUUGGUAUGGUAACGGCUUACCAAGGCAACGAGUCGUAGCCGACCUGGGAGGUGGAUAGGCCACACUGGAACUGAGACACGGGCCAGACUCCUACGGGAGGCAGCAGUAGAGAAUCAUGCGAAAUGGGCGAAAGCCAGACGGAGCAACGCCGCGUGGGUUAUGAAGGUCUUCGGAUCGUAAAACACUGUGAUUAGGGAAGAACAAAUGUGUAAGUAACUAUACACGUCUUGACGGUACCUAAGCAGAAAGCCACGGCUAACUACGUG